AUAAAAUGUGUCUUUGAUGUAAGAAAACUCUAAAUGACUCAACUAAAAUUACAUGAAUUCGAAAUUGUCUUGCCAUUCCCUGCUGGGAAACACAAUAAACAAACAAACAAACAAACAAACAAAUAAGUAAUUUUAAGUAGUAAUGAUUUCUAUGAAGACAUUUUAAAAUAAUAAUAGAAUUGAGAGCAUCUUUGACUGAGAGGUACUUAAAGUUUGGAAGGCAAUAUGGGGAGAGUUAGAGAAAAGGCAUUGUUGUUAAUGUACAUUCAUGGUAUGUUAGACAGAAGGUGGCUAGGGCUAUUUAGGUUGUUUUCUGAGGAGCCUCAGAACCUAGCCACAAACAUAGUUACAUCUUAUGAAAGAGCCCUCACACAACAGUUUUCAGCCCAUCUAAACUCUGUAGAUUAAUUUUUUAAACAUGAAUUUAUAUGUAAACAAUAUAAAAAUUAAAAAAAAACAGUAUAAAAGGUUGGUAAGUGGUCCCCAGAACUAUGGAAGCAAAGACAUGAGGAACAAGGGGUUAAGGCCAAUCUGGCUACAUUUUCAGAAUUAAAAAAUCCCCCCUAAAACAAUCAGACAAAAAUACAUUUUUAUGUAAAAGUUUGCUCAGGACUCCUAAUAUCAACUUGUCCCGUUUUUGUUUUCUAGGUCAUCCAAUUUCAUGUGUCUUUGAACACCUUUUCAUACCAUGUGUAUGCAUGUGUACAAGUCAUAAGUGUAUGCUCACUCCAUAUAAAUAUGUUAUUUCAUUCAGACAAACUGUUCUGUAGCGUCGGUCUGUGAGCAGUGGUCUGUGAACAGUGGUCUUGGAGCUCUUGCCAUGUUAUUUACUUAGAAGGAUUUAAUACCUUCUGAAUUCAUCUAAAGUAUAAAUUAUCUGACUUUACUUAGCCAUUUCUCUUUAGUGUUUAAGUUACCAUCAGUUUUCAGUACUAUAAACAUUUUUUAGUGUGUGUGUGUGUGUGUGUGUGUGUGUGUGUGUGUGUGUGAUGUGUGCAUGAUAUGUGUGGUGUGUGCUAUUAGCUGAUUCCUUCCACCACCAUCUGGUGUCAGGGAUGGAACACAGAUUGUCAGGCUUGGCCACAAGCACCUUUUCCAUUGAAUCCUCUCACAAGCCCUCUUCUUUUUUUUUUAAAUAUGGGCAAAUACUAGUUUUGAACAGUGUAUAUGUUUGUGCGUAUGUAUGUGAAGGAGUGCACAUCCUGUGCUUUUGGGUUUGGGAGCUGGGGUCUACAUCAGUGGUUUCCUUUAUUAUUGUCCUUUUUUUUCUUUUUCCCCCAAAACAGCUCUCCUGGAACUUGCUCUGUAGACCAAGCUGGUCUUGAACUCAGAUAUAACUGCCUCUGCCUCCCAAGUGCUGGGGUGCGUGCCCUAGCACCCAGCUGUUUCUUACUUUUUGACACAGUGGUUCAUGUAGCCCAUACUGUCUAUGAACUCUGUAUAGCUUAUAAUGAAUGAUCUUGAACUUUUAAGAAAAUGUAUGUUUGUGUGUGUACACAUGUAUGGGAAGGUAUACACAUCCAUUCAUGUGUGUAGAGGGUAGAGGUAGACAGUUGAUGUCUUCUUCUUAUAUGGUUUUCUGCCUUACUCCCUGGAUGUAGACUUUCUCUGAAUCUUGAGCUCAUUACUUUUCUGAGAGGCUAGUAGGCAGCAAGCCUCAGUGAUCUUACUGUUGUCAUCACAACCAUCUGUGUGUGUGUGUGUGUGUGUGUGUGUGUGUGUGUGUGUGUGCGCGCACACACACACACACAUGCGCACACUGGAGUUAGAACUUAGGCCCAUGAAAACAAGCUGUCUUCCCUGUUCUUGAGUAUAUCACUAAAGUUUUUCUUCCUCUUAGAAAGCUUUUAAUGAAAAUACCAAAAUUUCUUUAUCCACUUAGUUGUUAAUGAAUAUAAAAGCUAUCUAUCUUCACUUUUAGGCUGUUAAAUAUCUGUAAACAUUAUUAUAGAUGUUGUAAACUUAUGUUUUUUUUUCCUCAUGGGUAAAUGCUAAUGAUAUGGUGGAGUUGAUGAAUUGUGUGGUAAAUGUCUAUUCCACUCUUAAGAUGAUGAGCACUGUUCUCUCUCUCUCUUUUUUUAAAAUAUUUAUUUUAUGUAUGAGUACACUGUAGCUGCCCUCAGACACACCAAAAGAGGGCAUCGGAUCCCAUUACAGAUGGUUGUGAGCCACCAUGUGGUUGCUGGGAAUUGAACUCAGGUCCUCUGGAAGAGCAGUCAGUGCUCUUAACCCCCUGAGCCACCUCUCCAGCCCUGAGCACUGUUCUUUAGAGCAGCUGAAGCACUCGCUUUCCCCUUCCUACCACUCAGCAGUGUGCAGUAGUCAGUCCACUUGUUCUGUCUGUGACUUCAGCCUAGCAUUGUUGAUCUAUUUGCUUUUACCCAUUUUAGCAGGUGCAUUAGAGGUAUGCCAUUUUUAUCUUAACUUAUACUUCCUUUAAGACUGAUGAUAAUGAACUAUCUUUUUUCUUGUGUUUAUUGGCUAUUCCUCUAUGGGUUGCAUAAUUCCAUAUGUUUGGAAUCUGAAGUGUUUCAGACUUAAAAUUUUAAGUAAAAGGUACUUUAAAUUUUUUGAAAGACUUACAUAUAGGAAAUGGGCACCCUGAACUGAAGUAUGAACACAAAAUUGACUGAUGUUUUAUAUAGACAUUAUACAUACAACUUGAAGGUAAUUUUGUGCUUCUUUAUUUCACUGGUAUUUUGACUGUAUCCAUCAUAUAAGGUUAGGUAACUGUAUCCAUCAUAUAUAUUAUAAUUUCCUUAAGUUGCUUUGGCCAGGGAUUUUUGUGACAGCAAGAAAAAUCACCAAUGCUGGGCAGUGGCUGGCAGCACAUGACUUUAAUCUCAGCACUUGGGAGGAAGAGGUAGGUGGAUCUCUGUGAGUUUGAGGCCACCCUAGUCUACAGAGUGAGUUUCAGGACAACCAGGGAGAACAACACGGAGAAGCCUUGUCUAAACAAACAAACAAAACAAAACAAAACAAAACAAAAGUCACCAAUGUGUUUAACAAAUAUGAGAAUAUCAAAACAAGGACUGAGACCAACGAAUGGCUUAGCAGUAAGGUACUUGCUACCAAGCUUGAUAACCUGAGUUUGAUUCCUGGGACCUACAUAGUAGAAGAAAACUGACUCCCACAGGUUGUCCUCUUUUUAGCCCUGGCUUUGCUGGAUCUCACUCUGUAGACUAGGCUGGUCUUAAACUCAGAGAUCUGCUUGCCUUUCUCUCCCAAGCACUGGUAUUAAAGGAAUAAAGGUCCUCUGAUUUCCACAAGUGCAACAUGGUUUGUAUAUACAUCUGCACAAUAGAAAUAAAAGUAUAAAGGUAAUUUUUAAAAAGGACUGUGAGGAUAAAUCCUUUUUUUUUUUUUUAACUAAAAAGCUUCAAUUUCUUCCCUUCCUAGAAGGGUACCUACCCUCCUGUUUUUUCAUUUCUCUGUAUCCUCAUCUCCACUGCCAUAGUCUAAGCUAGCAUUAUCGCUCUUCUGGACCAUGGAGGUCUACAUGGUAAAACGUUCUCCAAGGUCUGCUUCAGGACCCUUCCAACACCACUGCUUAGAACCAAUAGGAUGAUAUAAAGAGUCAGGCUCCUGAUGUCGCUGCAUCUUAGUGAAGCUGGUACCAGCAUCCAAGCCCCUUGUGCUCACUAAGGUUUCAGAUCACCUCAGUCUUCUGUUGAUUUCUUCAAUAAUCUCUCAGAAUCCACUUGUCUUCACACCAUCCACUCUGUCUUCUUUCUCAUGCCAGUCACAGCAAACUCUCUCCAUUCUCAAAACACAAGUUCCCCCUUAUCUCAGGCCCCUGCCAAAGGUUCCAGUUUGUGGUUGCAGAUUUUGUGUAUUGACUGUGUCUCGGUGCUGCGGCUGCAGCUUUGCAAGAGCAAGUGCAUAGUAGCUUUUUGUUUCAUCUAUUGUGCUCAGAGUCUCUGCACAUGUAGGCCAGAGGUAACUGUCUGUCUGUCUGUCUAUCUGUUAUUUAUUGAGACAAGGUCUCAAUGUAAUUGGAGCUAGUCUGGAACUUUCUAUGUACACUGGGAUGACCUAGAACUCAAAGAGAUCCGCUUGCCUUUGCUUCUACAGUGCUGAGAUUAAAGGUGUGUGCCACUAUGCUAUUUCUUUUUCAAUGAGUUUGGUAGUUUGUAUCUUUCAAAGUAGAUUUCCUUUUUUAUUCUCUUUCUCCUCCCCUCUUUCUCCUUUAUUGAGAUAUGGUUUCUUAAAUCCCAGGCUGGCUCCAGCUUGGUAUGUAGCUGAGAAUAACAUAGAACUCCUGAUCCUUGUGCCUCGACCUUUGAGAGUUGGGGUUACAGUUGUUAUUGCCGGGUUUGUGAGGCUAGUGUGGAGCCUAAGACUUCCUGAAUGUUAGACGAGCUCUCUACUAACUGAGCUGUGUUCCUGGACUUCCAUUUUGUGUAUUAAUUGCCAAUGAUGUUAUCAAAUUUGAUGUAAGCUUUUCAUAAUACCCUCAUUUAUUUAGUAUCUUAUAUUUCUGCUUUUAAUGUUGAUAAUUUGUUCUUUUCUGUUAGCUCUUUCUAGAUUCUUCCCUAGUUUUCCUGUUUUCAUUUCUACCAUAAUUUUUUAUACUUUUUCUUCUGCCUUCAUCUUAAAAACCUUUUCUUUCCGGGCUGGAGAGAUGGCUCAGCGGUUAAGAGCACUGACUGCUCUUCCAGAGGUCCUGAGUUCAAUUCCCAGCAACCACAUGGUGGCUCACAACCAUCUGUAAUGAGAUCUGACACCCUCUUCUGUUGUGUCUGGAGACAGCUUCAGUGUACAUAUAUAAUAAAUAAAUCUUUAAAAAAAAACUUUUUUUCAUGAAGUGGAAAGUAGUAAUAUCACUAAAGUAUGGCUUUCCUUACUUUUUUUUUUUUUUAUUCUUUUUUUCGGAGCUGGGGACUGAACCCAGGGCCUUGCACUUGCUAGGCAAGCGCUCUACCACUGAGCUAAAUCCCCAGCCCUCCUUACUUUUUUAAUAUAAAUAUUCUUUUAAAGCAUCACAAAUUUUUAAUAUUUUGUAUUUUAAUUACAUUUUAUAGUUUAUUUUCAAGGUUUUUUUUUUGUAAUGUUUUAUAGUUCUCAAGUAUUUGAGAGAUUUUUCUACAUGUUACUAAUUUGUGGGUUAAUUCUGUUUGAGUUAGAAAGUCUAGAAACUUAGUAGAGUGCUUGCCUAGCAAGCAUAAGGCCCUGGGUUCGGUCCUCAGCUCCGGAAAGAAAAAAAAAAGGAAAGUCUAGAAACCAAGGUUUAUAGACUUGUUUGUGAUAUUUCUAGAAAAUUUCUAGUUUAUAUCUGUGUAAAGAAUAGGGCCAUAUUCAGAAGUCUUGUAUGCUCAGCACUUGAAAAUGGUUCAUUGCACUGGGCAGUGGUGGUGGUGGUGGUGGUGGCAGCAACAUAAGUCUUUAAUCCGAGCACUUGGGAAGCAGAGGCAGGCUGAGUUUGAGGCCAGCCUGGUCUACAGAGUGAGUUCCAGAACAGCCAAGGCUAUACGGAGAAUGCCCCCCACUCUCAAAAGGUCCUUUGCCAUUUUAACAUUUUUAUUUGAAAAUAGCUUUAUAUAAAGGAGUAUUGUCUCUAUGUAAACAGCCUCCCAGUAAAUGUUGUUAAUGGUGCUGGAAUUACUGGUUCUGGUGAGAAACUGGAAUGGGUCCUCUUUCUCCUUCCCUGGUCAAUGAGGGUGCAGACGGUACCUGGAAGAGAAUGGGGAACAAGAGAUGUGAAGAAGGACGCCAAGACAAGAAUCUGAUCAAGGCGACAGUUUUAUUUUUUCCCAAGGCUGAAUUUAUACUCUUAACAGGGGUAACAAGAGGGAGGGGGGAAGUGUGAAACAUUUACACAGGCCAAGGACACAGUAUUUAUGUGGUCAGCUGAUGUCAACAGGAUGCUGGUUUCUCAGAAAGGUUACAGGUUUGUCAUAUCUAUUAGUCAGCAGGAUGUUGGUUUCUCAGAAAGGUUACAGGUCACCACAUUGGGCAUCUUGACGUCAGAUGUAUUUCUCAGCAAGGUCAGAGCUUUAUCAUAUCAUUAUUCAUCCUGACCACCAGAUUUGUAUUAGUCUUGUGCAGCUAGCUGGGGAUUUCCCAUGAACCCAGUCAUACUUUAACCAUAAUAUUAACAUCAAUAAUGGAAGGUUUUCAAGGGUAUCUCGCCCAACACUUCCCAUCUCCCUUUAAUUUUCUCUAUACUCUUCCCUGUACCCUACCCAACUCAGCAUCUAUGACCCAGGCUGACCUCAGACUCUCUGUAAUAGUCAAGAAUGACCUUGAAGGUCUGAUCCUCUUGCCACAGUCUCCUGAAUGGUAGAUUGUGUGUCUCACUAUGCAUGCCUGUCUUAUUAUCUUUAAUCACUAUUAAAUAAAGAAGAUAAAAAAAACCCUUCCCAUGCAGUUAGCAUUCUUUUACUUGUCAUUUCUUUCUGUUGGCUGAGCUUUCUAUCUGAUGCCAAUUCUUUCUGUGUUACCUGUUUCCUUCAGUACUUUUUUGCUGUGUACCUAAAACAAUUUGUGUGUAGUGGGAGAUACUAUCUUGCUUUGUUCCCAUUGUAGCUAGAAUUCCAGUUAUCCCCCCUGCCUCAGCUUCUCAAGGUAUCUGGAACUACUGACAAGCACCACAGUGCUUUCCUGUUUUGUUUGUUUAAAUAGGGCCUCACUACAGAGCCCAGGCUGGCCUGGACAGCAAUGUCCUCCUGCUUCUGCUACCUCUGGGAUUCAAGUAUUACCAUGCUUAGCUUCCCCUCUGGUUAUAGAUUCUAACUUGUAGGUGGUUUAGCUUGAAUAAUCUAUAUGCAUGUUAUUCUUUUCUUGUACUUGAGGUUUAUUGAGCUUGGGAUUAUGAUUCAUAGUUUCUACCAAGUUAGUAAAACCUUUCAGUUAUUUACAGCACUCAUAUUCUUUUCUGUUUUCUUCUUUCUUCCUGCUUCAAGGACUGUGACUACAUAGUGCAGUAUUUGUUUUGUUGUUCCAUUUUAUAUUGCUUCUACUGCUAUGCCAUAAGGUUCUGCAGUAUCUUAAAUGCUGUUGGUCUCAGUUAAUGUAGUAUGAUCUCAGAUAUGGUUUGCACUUCUAAAUUUCUGCUUUUUAUUUAACAUAGUUAAGUUCUAUUCCAAGCAUUAGAUUUGACAGCCAUUCUUGUUGAUGACAACCUUUUUAAAAACUGUUUUUGUUUGUUUUCUUGCUUUUUAGACAGGGUCUUCUUACUAUGUACACUUAACUCUGCUACCCAAGUGCUGGGAGUAAAGAGAUAUGACACCACACCCAUUCACAAACCUUUUUAAUAGAAAGCUAUAGCACAAUGAUUGCAGAGAUACUGGGAGAUGGUGGAUACGUAAAAGAAGAUUGCCUUUUGAAGCACAUUUCUACAAGUGGUACCAGACAAAUAUGCUAGAAGCGGCAUGUUAUAUUGAGAAUGAUUUUACAAGAUAAAAUAUUCAGUCAUAUUUGUAUGAUGAGCGUAAUGAUGUGGUGAAAAGGAGAAAUCAGUUGAUAUAUGGAAAGGGGAUGGCAACCUUGUAAAAUUUUACAUUUUUAAAAAUAAAAAAGAUUUGGUACAGAAUUAGACAGUAAGUAGCCUUUGAAUCUGAGCACAACUAGGUCAUUCUUUGUCACAGGAAAGAAGCAGAGUCCUUGAGUCCAGUUGGGAUAACAUGGUAGAUUUUCUAGUUUUUGUCUAGAGGCCAUUGCUUUUUGGCAGUGGCCUCUGGGCAUUUUUCUGGGUGCUGUAGGCAAAACACUACAUGGUUUAGAUACUGUUCCUCUCUAACUAAAAGAUAUUUAAGUACAAAGGAAAGGGUUGGAGAGGUUGGAGGCUCUGUUUUAGAGCACUGGCUUGCUAUGCCAGAGGUCCAGGUGACAAGUACCUAUAAUAAUUUCAGAUCCAGGGGAUCUUACUUCCUUUUCUGGCCUCCAUGGCCCUAGGCAUGCAAAUGGUGUAUAAAUAUACAUCAUGCAGACAAAACACUUAUAAGUGUUAGGGUUAAAAAACAAGAAGGAGGAGGAGGAGAAAAAGGAAGAAGAAGAGGAGGAAGAGGAAGAUGACAGGUGUGGUGGUGCAUGUCUUUAAUCCCAGCAUUCAGGAGGCAGACACAGGUAGAUCUCUGUAAAUUCAAGGGUAGCCUGAUCUAGAUAGUGAGCUUCCAGGACAGCCAGGGCUAUAAAGUGUAAAGUGAGACCCUGUCUCAAAAACAAAAAACCGGGGUUGGGGAUUUAGCUCAGUGGUAGAGCGCUUGCCUAGCAAGCACAAGGCCCUGGGUUCUGUCCCCAGCUCCGGAAAAAAAAGAAAAAAAAAAAAACAAAAAAAAAACAAAAAACCGAGGACACCAAAAAAUGUACAUACACAUCUAUGCCUAGACUAGUACCUGGCACAUAAUAGCUAUUCACCAGAUGCUUAUUGACUAAAUUCAGGUGUAGAGAUACACACAUCUGUGCACACUUAGGUAUCUUUAGACUUUUGAUGUUUGAGAAACCUCAAAUAUUUACUGAUUAUGCUUAGAAGAUAGUUGCUUUUAUGAUGACUCUUCUUGCUCUCUGACUAUAACUUCAUCUGUAAUACAGCUUAAAGUAUUUUGUGAAGCUUUAUUUGCUACUUGGAGGUUUGUAGAUAAGCAGUAUGACAUCCAGAGAUGGGAAGAAGAAGGUUUUUACAGCUAGGGAAUUUGAGGAUAGUGUUCUAAAAGAGAUGAUAUCAGUUAGAGUUUGAAGAAAAAGAAGCAUCAGUAAUAAGCAUACCAAAAUGGCUUUUACGUCAUUGAUAAUCUUGGAAGCCUUUUUUUGCAACAAGUGGUGGAAUUUUCAAGUUUAGGAACAUACAUGGGAUGAUUUUAGUGUGUAUUUGUCUGGAGCCAGAGUGUAGAUCUGCUGUCCAGGAACUCAUUAUGUAAACCAGACUGACUUUGAACUCACAAAGAUCUUUUUGCUUCAGCCUCUUGAGUGACAGUAUUAAAGGCACUAUUAUGCCCGGUUUUUUUUUUUUUUUUUUUUUUUUUAAAGAUUUAUUUUAUUUAUUAUAUAUAAGUACACUGUAGCUGUCUUCAGAUACACCAGAAGAGGGCAUCGGAUCUCUUUACAGAUGGUUGUGAGCCACCAUGUGGUUGCUGGGAAUUGAACUCAUGACCUCUGGAAGAGCAGUCGGGUGCUCUUAACCGCUGAGCCAUCUCUCCAGCCCCUAUGCCCGGUUUUUAAAAAACAUUUUUAGGGCAGGAGAGAUGGCUCAGUGGCUAAGAGCACUUGACUACUCUUCCAGAGGUCCCGAGUUCAAAUCCCAGUAACCACAUGGUGGUUCACAACCAUCUGUGAUGGGAUCUGAUGCCCUCUUCUGAUGAGUCUGAAGACAGCUACAGUGUACUUAUAUGUAAUAAAUAAAUACAUUUUUAAUGAAACAUUUUAUAAUUUGAUUAAAUGCCCUUGAAUUUGUGCUAGGUUCUUCUUGACUCAUACCAUAAUUCCAAUACUUGGGAACUGUGGGCAGGGGAAUGAGGAGUUCAAGGUCAUCCCUGGCUAAAUAGCAAGUGUGUCAGCCUGAGCUGAGACUUACUGCAAAAACAAACAAACAAACAAACAAAGAAUUAUCAAAUACACCACAACCAAAACAGCGGCAACCACUACAGCUAGGCAUAGCUCUGUGUACCAGAGCUCCCAGCUCCUGGAGAGGCCUGGAACUGACCCUCCCACUUCUUUUUCCUUGAGUUUGAAUUACAGACUUGGCAUUGUUAUGGCUUUUAUUAGUUUCUUUUAUUGAGACACGGUCUCUCGCUUUGUAGUUCUGCAAGCCUAUAAAUACACACACACACACACACACACACACACACACACACACACACACACACACCCCCAGCAGGCUGCACACACACACACACACACACACACACACACACACACACACCCCCAGCAGGCUGGCCUCGAACUCUGAGUUCCCUGCUCUGCCUCCCAACUGGUGGGAUUAAAGAUGCGUAUCGCCACACCAGGUCUUUACUUUUUAAGAGUUACGUUUAUUCACUGUCAGAGAACAGCCCCAGAAGUUGUUCUCUUCUUCUACCAUCUGGAUGCCAGGGGUGGACUCUCAGUGUUUUAUGCCCUUGAUUGGGCCGGAACUUUUACCUCACAAACCUUUCCUGUUUUCCUGGUUGGGGAUUUUCACCUGGUAUAUAAAGAGAUCUCAGUAAAGCCUAACAGACACUCACUGAAAACGGAUGACCUGUGUACUUGAUUUAUUUCAAUCCCGCAGACCUACGCCCGAUACUCACACACUAUCGGUACAGACACCGACAGACCACCAAGUGCUUUUACCUGCAUAGCCCAUCUUUCUGGUCCUCCAGUCUUGUUUUCUUCUUCUUCUUCUUCUUCUUCUUCUUCUUCUUCUUCUUCUUCUUCUUCUUCUUCUUCUUCUUCUUCUUCUUCUUCUUCUUCUUCUUCUCCUUCUUCUUCUUUCUCCCUUCUCCCUUCUCCCUUCUCCCUUCUCCCUUCUCCCUUCUCCCUUCUCCCUUCUCCCUUCUCCCUUCUCCCUUCUCCCUUCUCCCUUCUCCCUUCUCCCUUCUCCCUUCUCCCUUCUCCCUUCUCCCUUCUCCCUUUCUUCUUUCUUCUUCUUUCUUCUUUCUUCUCCCUUCUUCUUCUUCUUCCUUCUACUUCUACUUCUACUUCUACUUCUACUUCUACUUCUACUUCUACUGUGUAUGGGUGUUUUGCCUGCAUUUAUGUCUGUGCAUGUGUACCACACGUCUCUAAUGCCCUCAGAUGCUGAAAGAGGGUGUCAGAUCCUCUGGAGCUGAAGUUAACAGACAGUUUGAGCUGCUCUGUUAGUGCUGGGAAUCAAACUGCUAAGCCAUCUCUCAUAUAUAACAGUAGUGAACUUAUAUUAAAUACUAUGUCUGAUGAGUAGCACAUUUUCAUUCUGCAUUUAUUUUCAUUAAUAGUUGAGUCAUUAAGGAUAGCAUCUUCACAGGGCUAGUGCUUUAUCUCUUGUUAUUCUGUUUCACUGGUACCCAGAUGUAUGAGUAAAUGUAAUGCAAAGAUGGCUUUUCAUUCAAGGUUGAGGCAGUCAAGGAGUUCAAGAUCACCCUGGCCUGUAGUGUACAUAGUGAGACUUUGCCUCCAAAAGAAGAUUGAGGGUUAUACCUAGGAACAAUAAAAAAUGCUGGUACAUUGAAUGAAAAAUAAAAAGACCAUUAUAAUACAUUAAGACUCGGGUUUGCAGGCUGGAGAGAUGGCUCAGCGGUUAAGAGCACUGACUGCUUUUCCUGAGGUCAAUUCCCAGCAACCACAUGGUGGCUCACAGCCAUCUGUUAUGGGAUCUGAUGUCUUCUUCUGGUGUGUCUGAAGAUAAGCUACAGUGUACUGAUAUACAUUAAAUAGAUUUUUUUUCUUUCUUUUUUUUUUUUUUUUUGAAGCUGGGGACCGAACCUAGGGCCUUGCGCUUGCUAGGCAAGCGCUCUACCACUCAGCUAAAUCCCCAAUCCCAAUAUUUAAAAAAAAAAAAAAAAAGACUUGGGUUUGCAAAAAAAAAUAAUAAUAAUAAUAACAAAAAACAAAAACAAAAUCCAUAGUUGAGUGAAAGGGGGAUACUUCAGUAAGGAAGAUCCAUUACAUAGCCAUCCUAAAUUUAAAAAGAAACAGUCCAAAGGAGAUGAGGUAGUUUUACAUUUUGGUGGUAUUUUAAAGGCUGAAUGUAGAAAUGUAUUGUGACCAGCUGACUGCUGUCAAAGUUGAUAGAAAGGAAUCAGGGAUUACUUAGAAUUUUAGGCAUCUUAGUUAAGCUUUUACUGCUGUGAACAGACACCACGACCAAGGCAGCUCCUAUAAGGACAACAUUUAAUUGGGACUGGCUGUAGGUUCAGAGGUUCAGUCCAUUGUCAUCAAGGUGGGAGCAUGACAGCGUCUAGGCAGGCAUAGUGCAGGAGGAGCUGAGAGUUCUACAUCUUCAUCUUAAGGUUGACAAGAGAGUACUGACUUUCAGGCUGCCAGGAUGAGGGUCUUAAAGCGCACACCCACUCCAACAAGGCCAUAACAGUGCCACUCCCUGGAGCCAAGCAUAUAUAAACUAUCCUACUGGGCUUUUAGCCUUUCUCUUUUUCUUUUUCUUUUUCUUUUUCUUUUUCUUUUUCUUUUUCUUUCUUUUUCUUUUUCUUUUUCUUUUUCUUUUUUUUUUUUUGAGAUUGGGUUUCUCUGUGUAGCUCUGGCUGAGCUGGUCCUGAACUGGAAGAGAUCCUCUUAUCUUGGCCUCCCAAGACUGGAAUUAAAGACUCUCAACCUCCUCUCCUUCCUUUUCCUUCUCACCCCUCCAUCCCUACUCCAGGAUAGGGUUUCUCUGUGUAGUCCUGACUGAACUGGAACUCACUCUGUAGCCUGACUUCAAACACAGAGAUCUGACUGCCUCUGAGACCAAAGACUUGUGCCACCAUUCCUGCGUACGACAGGAGUUUCCAUUUCUUAACAUAAUUGACAAAAGUGACUUCUCAGCUGCUUCUCUAUUUACUAACGUAGUUUGUAUGUAAUGAGAUUUUGUUACAUCUGAAAGUAAUAAUUUACAGACAAUGUAAUUAAUCUAUUUAGUAUUUAGUUCAGUGGUUUCAACAUAUUUGUAGACAAGUGCACCCAAUGCCACAGUUGUGGCACAGGUCAUUUUUGUCACCUUUUUCAUAAGGAAAUUUCAUGCCCUUUAACUAUUUUUUCCUCUUAUUUCUCUGCCCUAAAUAAAUGAAGCCUAAGAAUGUGUGAUCGUUUAUGGCUAUGAACCUAUCUAGUAUUGACUUCUACAUUGAAAUAAAUGUUUACAACUCUGUAUAGUACAGAUACUAAUAAUCCAUUAUCAAAGAGGAUUUAUACAUAUUAUACAUAUUCUCCCAUUCUGUACGUUCUCUCUCCUCUCCACUUCCUUUUCUUAAUUGAUAGAUGCAGUCUUGCUGUAGAGCCAGACUGGCCUUGAAUUCAAUUCUCCGCCUCAGCA